GAUGAACGCUGGCGGCGUGCCUAAUACAUGCAAGUCGAGCGAACGGACGAGAAGCUUGCUUCUCUGAUGUUAGCGGCGGACGGGUGAGUAACACGUGGAUAACCUACCUAUAAGACUGGGAUAACUUCGGGAAACCGGCGCUAAUACCGGAUAAUAUUUUGAACCGCAUGGUUCAAAAGUGAAAGACGGUCUUGCUGUCACUUAUAGAUGGAUCCGCGCUGCAUUAGCUAGUUGGUAAGGUAACGGCUUACCAAGGCAACGAUGCAUAGCCGACCUGAGAGGGUGAUCGGCCACACUGGAACUGAGACACGGUCCAGACUCCUACGGGAGGCAGCAGUAGGGAAUCUUCCGCAAUGGGCGAAAGCCUGACGGAGCAACGCCGCGUGAGUGAUGAAGGUCUUCGGAUCGUAAAACUCUGUUAUUAGGGAAGAACAGAUGUGUAAGUAACUGUGCACAUCUUGACGGUACCUAAUCAGAAAGCCACGGCUAACUACGUG
rnacentral:rRNA from 1 species